CGGCCUGGGCCUCAUUACAGGCCGGCCCUUAUCGCGGCGUGCAUCACAUUAUUUCAUUUCAAAGAAUCCGCAGAGAAACCCGUCCCGGCCGACAACAGAAAGUAAAAACACAGCUGACUCCCAUUAGGGCCCUCUCACAGGCUCCGCGUGAGUGCUUACACAGUGAAGUUUACCUAUUCUUGCUGCCUUUGGAAGACUGUGACUACCACUAUGUGAAGAAUCCCAGUCUGACCUGCUGGAUAAUGAGAGAUGUAUAAGCCUGUACCCUUGUCACCCCAGCCAUCAGCCAGCCAACCGCCAGCAAGAAGGCAGCUGUCUGCAAGCCAAGAAGAGAGCCCUCACCAGAACCCAACUAAGCUGGAAGCUGGCACCUUGGACUUGGAUUUUCAGCCUUCAGAAGUGUGAGAAAAUUAAUUCUUUUGUUGAAGCCACACAAUCUAUGAUAUUUUGUUAUAAGAGCCCAAGCAGACUAACAUACCUGGGAGGGUGUAUAAUUCUGGGCUCCCACAGACACACCUGGACAGGAUGGUCACACAUGGGGAUAUUCAUGACUUGGUCUGCAAACUUGGUUCCAGACCAAUGCUUCUUGUUCUCUGAUUGUUUCACAUGCCAGUUCCAGCU